rnacentral:rRNA from 1 species
CCUAGUAACUGCGAGUGAAGAGGGAAAAGCUCAAAUUUAAAAUCUGGCAGUUUUACUGUCCGAGUUGUAAUCUAGAGAAGUGUUAUCCGUGCUGGACCGUGUACAAGUCUCCUGGAAUGGAGCGUCAUAGAGGGUGAGAAUCCCGUCUCUGACACGGACUCCCAGUGCAUUGUGAUGCGCUCUCAAAGAGUCGAGUUGUUUGGGAAUGCAGCUCUAAAUGGGUGGUAAAUUCCAUCUAAAGCUAAAUAUUGGCGAGAGACCGAUAGCGAACAAGUACCGUGAGGGAAAGAUGAAAAGAACUUUGGAAAGAGAGUUAAACAGUACGUGAAAUUGUUGAAAGGGAAACGCUUGAAGUCAGUCGCGUUGACUGGGGAUCAACCUUGCUUUUGCUUGGUGUACUUCCCAGUUAAUGGGCCAGCAUCAAUUUUGACCAGUGGAUAAAGGUCAAGGGAAUGUGGCAUCUUCGGAUGUGUUAUAGCCCUUGGUUGUAUACAUUGGUUGGGAUUGAGGAACUCAGCACGCCGCAAGGCCGGGUUUUAACCACGUUCGUGCUUAGGAUGCUGGCAUAAUGGCUUUAAUCGACCCGUCUUGAAACACGGACCAAGGAGUCUAACAUGCCUGCGAGUAUUUGGGUGGAAAACCCAUAUGCGCAAUGAAAGUGAAGAUCAGGAUCCCUGUCAUGGGGAGCACUGAUGCCCGGACCAGACCUUUUGUGACGGAUCUGCGGUAGAGCAUGUAUGUUGGGACCCGAAAGAUGGUGAACUAUGCCUGAAUAGGGUGAAGCCAGAGGAAACUCUGGUGGAGGCUCGUAGCGAUUCUGACGUGCAAAUCGAUCGUCAAAUUUGGGUAUAGGGG